AGCGAGUUGGAGCAGUGGAAGCUCGUCAGACUCAUAUUCUGAAGGCCGUAGGUUCGAAUCCUGCACUCGCCA
rnacentral:tRNA from 1 species